CAAUCCUUUAUGGGCAUGUGCUCAACCGCCAUCAUUCAUGGAACCAGAAGUGGGCCUUCUCAGAUCAGCUGAAUUGAAAUACUAAUGACAAUUCAUUACAGUCUGCCAUGUAUCUAAGAAAAAAUUAAGUACUGCUUUUAUUGCCUGGAGAGCAUGAUAUGCGAAAUUACGUCAGCAGCGGCCGGCAGAGAACGAGAGACCCCUGUUAAUGGAGAGACGCUGAGACCUCGCGAAGAGAGAGUAAAACUCUCUACGCGAGGAUGCCCCAGUCUUCCCACCCUCGAGAAGAGACCCUACCAGGAGCCCCAGAAAUCAGGCAACCUCUUCCCACAGCUAUAUACACUUAACGAGGCAGCCGGGGCCUCCUCAAGCUCCGGACUUGGGAAUCAUCUCCAUUCACCGUCGGCUUUACCCAUCCAGCCAUUGGCGGGCACCCUCUCGGCGCUUUAUAGAAGAUCAGACCUACCUAAGUUCACACAGACGCUGGGGCCCACUCCUUGCCUACGGUCGGCCAGAACUCGGAACCGGCUUCUUCUUCCGCCGGAAGUUACUGCUCCGACGUGUAAGCGUUUCUAGUCGAGCAGUUGUGGCCGCGGCACUACUCAGAAGCGACACUCCACCCGCCGUGACGCGGUCGCUAUGGUAACUGAUCGCCGCUUCUAUGGAGUGGCGUUUACUAGCAGUAAGUUCCCGAGCUUUGAAGAAAGGUGCCUCUGGCUUCGCUCUAAGUCCCUCUUGUCCUGGCUCCGAGACUGUCGCUUCUCUCCUCAGCGAGCACCCCCCCUCGCCAUCCCAAGCUUUCCCUCCGUUCUUCAACGCGUCCUUUAGAGAUGAGUAUAAUCGUUUCGGUUGGUGCUUGAACUCUGAGAGGGUCUCGCCCCAGUAUCCAGUCUGGAGUUCAGUGGCACAAUCUCAGCUCAUUGCAGCCUCUACCUCCCAAGCUCAAGCCAUCUGCUAAGUCAGCUUCCCAAGUAGUUGGGACUACAGCAAUAGUAGUCAUCAUCGAUGAACUUUCGUUGAGUUUGUGCAAGGCAGUGGACUAAGCAGGAGAGAAAUAGGAAGAGUUCUCUUACAGGUCUUUAUCUUAUCUAGGAUGUUUGGUCCUGUUUUCCUAUCUGCACAUCUGAUGUUUUAAUCAUUCCCUGAGCCUAUUAAAGAUAUUGUCUAUAAUCCAUCUUCUGUUUAUCUUUAAUAAUCGUACAAAUACCAACUUUUUUUUCCCCAUUCACUUCUUUACCCUUUUCUCUUAUGACUACUCUGGUUUUUCUGUGCACUUUCGAAUUACCCUGAAGUUUGUGGUGAUCUCUUCCAGUCACGUGGGGAUAUGUAUUCAUAUACAGAUGCUCCUUGACACGACAGGGUUAUGUCUGAUAAGCCCAUUUUAGGCUGAAAAUCUAUUAGUGCCUUAAUACACCUAACCUCCUGAACAUCAUAGCUUAAGCUAGCCUUCUUUAAUUGUGGUCAGAACACUUACUUUAGCCUACAGUUGGGUAAAAUCAUCUAGCACACAGUAUUCCAUAGAGUAUUGGUUGUUUACCCUCAGAGACUGCAUGGCUAACUGGCAGCUGCUGCUCCUUGCCACUGCCCAGCAUCAUGAGGGAUUAUUUUACUACAUUGCUAGCCUGGGAAAAGAUCAAAAUUCAAAAGUCAAAGUAUGGUUUCUACUGAACAUGUAUUAGUAGAAUACACACCAUGUAAAGUUGAAAAAUUGUUAGUCAAACCAUCCUAAGUCAGGGACUGGCUAUACUGUUUGUUAAAGCAUGCUACUUUCUCUACUUUAUUUUUUUUAAUACUGAAUUUUUUUUUUUGAAAAGUUUAUUUUUGGCAUGUAAUUGACCCAGGGAAGAAAGGUUAAUCUGAAUGAUCAAGGGGUGUUAAUUUGUGGGUUAAAAUGUGUUAAACAGUUGAUUUGAAGUCUGUUUAAGUCAAUUAGAGAGUAUAAUGAAGAUGUUUCCAGGGUGUUAUGGAACCUUUUGAAGUUAGUGUGGAAUUCACUAGUGUAUAUUAACUAUGGCACCUGCUAUUGCAUUCAGGUUUUUUAAUUUGUGUGAAUUCUAAUAGAUAUGAAUAGGUCAACAUAUAUAAAAGUUUGACUUUAUUAAUGAGCCUCAUCUUUUGUUAUAGGAAAUUAAACUCAUGACUUCAUUCAUCAUUAGCAAUGGAAAACAUAAUUAGUAUCGUUGUUAUCUUUGUUACUUGAAUUUUUUCAAAAAUAUAAGGCAAUGACUUUUCUUUUAAAAUAAGAUUAGUGUUAUUAUAGGUUUUUAAAUGCUAAGUAUGUCAUGUGGAAAGGUAGAAUUCAUAAAGGCAUAUGAAAUUUUGUGUGCUCACUUAAAGAAAUAAUUUAUUUCCUCCCCUAAAAUUAUAUGAAGUAAAAUUAUGAAACAGUUUAGUGUUGGUGAAUAUUUUCAAAGAUUUCAAAAUAGUUAAUGUUAUUACACACAGUUUAAUAUUAUUAUGCUCAAAUUCAGUCAUCAAAUAUAAUUUUUGUAUGAUGAUAGCAUUAUUUAAGAUGAAUAAAGCAUUGCAACUUCACCAGUUUAAAUCCACAAGAGAUAUGAGAGUAAAAAUCACGUUUUAAAAUACAUUCUUCACUUAGCAUUAGAGUUACUAUAGUCUAUUUUUUAUUACUUAUGUCAGUUUGCUAGUAAUAAACAUAUUUAACAUUUCAGCUUCUUGAAACCUUUAAGUUUAUUUAGAGACCGAGAAAAACAAGUGUUGUAUGCUAAAGGGAUUUCUGCAAUGAUGGAUUAAAUGCCAAAAUAAUGAAACCACAUAUCUUAAAAAAUAUACUGAAGAAUAGAUGUUUUCUGAUGAAUUUCACAAAAAUAUCAUAUUUUUAAAAUACUUUAAGCAAUUCAUAGUAUUACUUUUUAAUCUGCUAUAGAAGCACCAUGAAUCUAGUCUGUUGUAGCUCAUUAGCAAUUUCUUUAAUGAGUUUUUUGGUGUGAUAGAUAAAGUAACAGACAAAUGACAGAUUGUUUGCCUUUAAUGAUUUCCCUGUUUCAAGCCCAUUACAAAGCAAUUAGAAAUCUGACAGCAUUUUCACUCUGCAUUACUGAUCAUCUAAAGUGAUGAGGAAUGAGAGGUGGUGAAUAUUAAUUGUAUAUUUUCAUAUGAUUAUCAUAAAUUAUUACCUUGUCUGAUGUGUUGCAGGUGAAGCAGGAGCAUUAGAGAAAGGCAUUCAGAUACAUCAACUUGAAAGACUAUUAUUUAAAAAAAAUCUUUGUAGUAUAAAUCCUAGUCUGCAAUGUUAGUCUCUAUGAAUAUUCCUCUAUCACUAUUAACUAUUUUUAGUUUCUAUUAUAUUUGGGACAACUGAAAUUUUCUUUCUUUUUUUCUUUUUGAGUUGGAAUCUCUCUCUGUAUGACGAAGUACAGGUGCACUGGUCUCAGCUCACUGCAACCUCUGUCUCCCAGGUUCAAGCAAUUCUCCUGCCUCAGUCUCCUGAGUAGAUGGUACUACAGGCACCCGCCACCACACUCGGCUAACUUUUAUAUUUUUAGUAGAGACGGGGUUUAACCAUAUUUGCCAGGCUGAUCUCAAACUUCUGACCUUUUGAUCUGCCCAACUCGGCCUCCCAAAGUGCUAGGAUUACAGGCAUGUGCCACUUCACCCAGCCACAACUGAAGUUUUCUUAUUUGAAUACAAGAAAAGGAAAGAUUAUUCCAUAGUACAAUAAACCUAUAUGUAUUUAAAUUUAGGAUCUUAAAAAUCUGUGAAUUUUGUUGAUUUAUAUAUUACAUAUAUAUAAUAACAUUCAGAAAUUUCAGUAUAGAGAAAGAUACUCUUAGAAAUAGGUCGUAAGUUAGUCUUUGGUUAAAGUCAGGUAAUCCUGCAAAAGAAGUGGUAAGGAAGUGUAGCCAAAUGUAGAAUGAGAUAUUUCUAGGUCCUCUGUAACAGUUCUUUUGAUCUUAGCCCACAAUAUAUCCUGUUUUUCCAGUUUCUUGCCUCAGAUAGUAGAUGAGGCUAAGAUUGUCAUUAGGAUGCAAGUGCUGUUGUUACUUGUUUCCUGCCUUGGAUUUAGAGCAAGUGCUGGUCAAGGAACUAGAUGCAGUAAGAAUUAACAAACCUAGAGCACUUUAAAUGAUUAUAGGCUGGGUGUGGUGGCUCACACCUGUAAUCUCAGCACUUUGGGAGGGUGAGGCAGGUGGAUCACUUGAGGUCAGGAGUUCAAGACCAGCCUGGUCAACAUGGUGAAGCCCUGUAUCUACUAAAAAUACAAAAAUUAGUUGGGCAUGGUAGCGCAUGCCUAUAGUCCCAGCUACUCAGGAGGCUGAGGUAGGAGAAUCUCUUGAACCUUGGAGGUAGUGGUUAUAGUGGGCUGAGAUAGUGCCACUGUACUCCAGCUGGGUGACAGAGCAAGCCUCUUGUCUUAAAAAAAAAGAUUAGAAAUAUAUUUGGUUCAACUUUACUAACGUAAAUUAGUGUAUAUGCUACUGUCUCUCUAAAGAUAGGUAUUAGUUGGUAAUUGAUAUGUAAUGAGUUGAAUUGAAUUUCUUUGUGCUAAUGAGGCUGUGUCUCCAUUAAGUCCUCCCUUUGGACCUUUUUGCUCUGGUUUGAUCUAUGAAAUUCCAUCCCUUGCAGUUGCAUGCCAUCCUGGAUCCAUCUUUAUGGAUCUUUAUUUAUGAAGAAGGUUAUAUGAUUAUAAAUCAAUAAAGCGUAUUUUUACAUGCUGCUUUGAAACCAUUCUUUUUAUUUUAUAUUUAAUUGUGUGUGUUUGCACUUUAUAUGUACUUAAAGUGUUAGGCCUUCACAGAUGAACUUUUUGUGUUUUGGAAAGCUGAGAACCAUCUAAAAUUAAUUUCAUAUUUACUGAGGGAAAAGUUAGGUAUUGUAGUAUGAAAGCAAAUUAUCAGUAAAAAGCAUUCCGUCUCUAGCAUUUGGUAGUCCUAUUUAAUAAUCUUUGUAGUGGGUAAGAUUUCCAAAUGUAUUAAUUACUCUCCAUAUCUGAUGACCUCCCAAGGUUUUGCAUCACAGGGACCUCCUUUAUCUAUAGCAUAGGUCCAACUAACAUACACCUUAUGGAAUCAGAAUGGGGAUUCCAAAUCCCCUCAACUCUUUUCUGAUGGUAUUCCUUACCUUAGUGUUAGUCUAGACUUUUAAGUCGAUCCUUUCGACAGCCCAACCAAUUGGAUCCUUUGCUUCUCUUUACACUUCUAACAUACCACUAACCAACAUAGGUACAGUAGUUUCCCCUUAUCAGUGGUUUUAGUUAACCAUGGUUAACUGCAGUCCAAAAAUAGGUAAGUACUGUAAAAUGAGAUAUUUUGAGACAGAGAGAACACAGACACUUAACUUUAUUACAGUGUAUUAUUAUAAAUGGUCUAUUUUAUUAUUAGUUCUUUGCUGCUAAUCUCUUACUGUACCUAAUUUAUAAGUUAAACUUUAUCAUAUAUAUGAUAGGAAAAAACAUACUAUAUAUAAGGUCUAAUACAGUAUUGUAUAUACUUUCAAGCAUCCACUGGGGGUCUUGGAUCAUAUCGCUUACAGAUCAGCAGAGGGGGGAAUACUUUGCUUGAAUUUUGGCCAAAGUCUCCACUUCUUUCUUUAGAGGAAUUGGUUUGGAAAACUUACAUAUUUUUCCUAUGACAGGGAAUAGCUCUCCAUACCUCAGUAUGUAUUAAUAGAAACCUGGGCUGUCCAACUGUGGCAUUGUUAGCAAACCAGUAGCUGAGGAAGUAAACAAUCUGAAGUUGUAAAUAGUAAAUAACUGUAUCUUCUCUGAUAGCAAAGAGUCUAUGGAAUACUUUCUGCCAUGUCUAGACACUGUUUCUUGGACAAUUCAGGAGACAGACUUAAAUAGGAGCUAACAUUUAUAAUUAAUAAGCACUUUUACAUAUUGUGUAUGUUUUCAUUUGAUCCUUCUAACAGUCCUGUGAGGUAGUUAAGGCAGAUACUAUUAUCAUACACAUAAAGCAAUGAGACUGGGAAGGAACAGAGGCAAAAAUUCAAACCCAAGUCAGUUGAGUCCAGAUCUGUGGCAUUUUCUGUCAUACCACCUUAGCUUUUAUAUGUAAAAGUUCUUCUAUUAAGUGACUAAAAUUUUAGAGACAGAGAACUUUGGAGUUUCUCCCUUUUAUCAGUAUCUCACACCCCCAUUUUUUAGACAGGCAGGGAAAAUGUACAGAAAAGGGUUUAGGAUUUACCACAGGUCUGGCCUCAAACUAGGACCAGAGCUUCAGAACUUCAUGACCUAGUCCCAGUGGUCUUUGCAUUACAGUGCACUACUUUCAUGUUUCCUGAAGCUACAGGGCCAUUCUCUUUAGCUAUAUUUUCUUCAGUUAUUAACUUAAAUAAAUUAUUUGUUAGAGUCUUGGCUUGGUAAAUAUAAAUAAUUCCCCCCCCCACUUUUCCUUUUUAGUUACAAAAUAAAGUCCCUUUUAUCUGGCAUAGCUUGUUUAUGUGGUAGGUAGCUCCCCUAAACAUUCUGGAAUGUCCUAAGGUAAGAGGGGAAGAAAAGAGUGUGACUCGUGUUGAGAGAGCUGAGAAGAGCAAUUGGGGGUAGUUACUUAGUUACUCAUUCUCAUGUUUUUCUGUGUGUAAAGGCACAAAUAACACCUUGGGGCACUCUUCCCUUUCUAGCAUGGGAGCAUCCCUGAUUUAUUGUUCCCUGGUAUGGAGGCUUAGAAAGAAAGUGAAGAUCAUCAGCCAGGUGUGGUGGCUCACACCGGUAAUCCCAGCACUUUGGGAGGUAAAGGUAGACAGAUUAGUUGAGGUCAGGAGCUCAAGACUGGCCUGGUCAGCAUGGUGAAACCCUGUCUCUACUAAAAAUACAAAAAAUUAGACAGGCGUGGUGGUGGGUGCCAGUAAUCCCAGCUACUCGGUAGGCUGAGGCUGGAGAAUCGCUUGAACCUAGGAGGCAGAGGUUGCGGUGAGCAGAGAUCAUUCCACUGCACUCCAGCCUGCGCAACAGAGCGAGACUCUGACUUAAAAAAAAAAAACAAAGAAAGUUGAGAUCAAACAAUAACUCAGUAACCAAACUUUUUCUAAGAUAUCUAAAUUAUUAUUUUAAAUGUUUAAAUGGUAACAGAGACUGGGAAAAUAGGUAUGUCAAUUACACGAAGAACAACAAUUCUCCUGGUUCAUACGCAGCUCAGUUCAACAUACUAUUGGCUCUUGCCUGAUUCUCUAAUACAAGUCAAAUGUUUGACUUCCUUUCCCCAGUGAGAGACCUCAUUCCAGCAUAGUCAUGUUUCCAGACCUCUCUUGUAGUCAGCCAGCUUGUCUCAUGACACAGAGAUUUCUCUUCAUGAAAAGUGGGUUCAUCCCUCGAUGCCACAGACUUGAUCUUUACAUUAUUUCUCCUCUAACCAAAUAACAGCUAUUCUUCACACUCUGCAAGUUUCAAGUGUUUUUCCCAGCACUUACAUUUUAAGCACCACUCUAAUAAUGAUUACCAUCUCUAGCCAUAGAAAAUCCUUUCAAUUCAUUCACAAAGUGCUUCCUUGUUCCCUCUCAAAAUUUCUACCUAAUUUGGGUUUAUAUUUACAGUGGUGUUGCACUGCUGUCUCAGUAACACCACUUAGUUGAAUUAACGAGUCAUUUAAGAGCUCUACAGGGAAAAAAAGGUCAAACGUUGAGGGAAAAACAAAAAAAAGAAAAGGAAAUACCUGCUUUAAAAUUUCACAGCUCUCAGAGACCUGAUUUGAUGGGGCCAAAAUGUAAAGUAGGCCAAGGUUUCUUACUAUCAGUCAUCAAUAAAAAAGCUGACUUUAUUCUGAAACAGAUCCUUAAAAGAGAGAUGUGUCAGUAGCCAUUGGUUGAGUAUUGAAGUCAAUUUUAAAAUUCCUUUUUUCCUAAAUCAUUUUUUCCUAUCCUACUGAAUUGGAGGAGGGAAUAAAAAGGUUUACGACAUUGAAAUAGAUUACACUGUUCACUUCUUGCUUGAUGUGACCUGUCAUUCUAUCAUAGAAAGUUCAUCUGGCAUAUUUGGCUCUUCUGAUACUAUAUUCAUGUCUCCAGUUAAAAAGCUGUCUAAUUACCAAAAUAAUUUCCCCCUUACUUUAAAAACGGAUAGGUUUUCCCUUUUCCAGUCUCCAAUGACAUCUUUCCGUCAUUUUGAGAUGUUGAAAGCAGAGAGAUUUAGUUAAAAAGAGUGGGAGAGAAGAGAAUAAAAAGAUAUUCUUCUUUCCUUUGUUGCAGUCACAUCUAUGUGACCUAUUCUGUGUUGACAGUCAUAAAUAUUUGACUCAUAUUUUAAGACACAGCCUUACUCUGUCACCAGGCUAGAGUACAGUGGCGUGAUCUCGGCUCACUGCAACCUCUGCCUCCCAGGUUCGAGCGAUUCUCCUACCUCAGCCUCCUGAGUAGCUGGGAUUAUAGGCACACACUACCAUGCCCAUCUAAUUUUUGUAUUUUGAGACAGAAUUUCACCAUGUUGGCCAGGAUGGUCUCAAUCUCUUGACCUCGUGAUCUGCUCACCUCAGCCUCCCAAAGUGCUGGGAUUACAAGCGUGAGCCACCAUGCCCAGCCCUUCACUCAUAUUUUAAUUUACUUUUGGACUUCUUAAAGUUUGAACUAAUUAUCCCUUCAAGGAAAAAAAAAAGCUUACAAUGUACUUCUUAGAGACUUAUUAUCUAAUUCCAUAACCUGCAGUCAUGGAUAUUUCUAUUUAUACUAGACUCUGUAAACUGAAGAAUUUUCUUUCUACUAUCCAGUAAUCAAAGGUGGUUGGAUACUUCACUGUGCUUAUUCUGUUCAUGCUUCGAAGUUUAGCAUUGCUGAUGAGUGGGUGUUGGCAUUAUAAUCAAAUAAUUUUAAGUAAACAUGGAACAUCAGACUUGAAGCUAUAAAUUAUCUUUAAGAAUAAGGCUUUUAAGAAAAUACUAUCUAAAGCUGUAACCAACAGUUAGUUUUGUGAAAAUCAUCAUGUUUUAGAUGUUUCUGCACUCUGAAGAACAAUGAAGAUAGUGGACCACAUUAUUUAGGCACUGUCAUCAAUGUUGUGGGUAAUAAAUGCUUUGGGUUUAUUUUCUCGAUGUGGUUUAUUAUCAAAUGGAAACCAUCUGUUGGAACCAUUUUGUAUUAAAAUUAACCGAUAAUUUAUCAAGUAAAUUGGAUAUUUCACUUUUUGAAUAUUUAAGAUAAAGUAUUAGAUUCCAAAGAAAUGUCCUAUUUGUGGCAGGCUGCUUCAGGCUAUUUUACUAGAUAGCUCAGGUAUAGAAAAAGGUCAUGCUUUGCACCAACUUGUAUGAAGAAUUUCACAAAGUAUUAGGUUCCCAUUUAUGUUGCUUCCAGCUGAAUCUAGAAGACCUUGUUGAGAUUGUGAAAACUGUAGAGUUGGUCAUCGCCUCAAUUUGCAAGUCAAAUUUACUGAAGUUGGAAAAUUCAGAAUGGCAAUUAUGUGUAUCGUCAAAGAAACAAUAUAUUAAGCAUAUAUGUGUGUAAGAAUAUAUGAAUGUGUGUUGUGUGUGUGUGUAUGCACACACUUGUACAUGUGUUAUAGUGUAUUAAAAAAGAGACAGUAAACAGAGACCUUUAUGUCAGGUAAUGCAAUGUGAAUAAAAUCGUCAUUCUAAUUGUAUCUCCCAACUGGCAAAAUGAAAACUGUAAUCUGAGUUAAACCUGACCUAAUAUAAAUGCCAAAUGGCAAUAAGAAUGAGACAAUUUCUUCCUUACUCCUAGAUGGCUGCAUAAUCUUUUCUCUUUCAUUUUGGGUCAUCCCAGAUUCUGAGUAUUUGUUUUAGAAUACUAAAGGUAGCAGAAUGUAGUUAUGUGAAUUUAGAUGGAUGUAAUAUUUCUCCAGAGAUUUAUUGUCAUGUUAUUAUUAGGUGAACUCUCAAGUUAACUCAAAAGCUGUUAUCUUUGUCUUGAGAUUGAGCUGUAUUUUAGAUAGGAAAUUAAGUCAUAUUUUCUUAAUAUUAGGAAUGUCUUGACUAGUCAAAUUAUGAAGCUGUUGUGUUGAAAGUUGAAUAGAAUAGUUGAAAGUUCUUAUGUUGCUGCAGUACCUAAGUAUGAGCUCACUGAGGGCAGUGCCUUUUUCUAUCAUGUUUUUAUUAUGUUCAUGUUGAAUUAUGUUGAACUUGUUUAGUAAAAACAUAAUGAUAAUUAUUGUUGUAUAUCAUUAUUUAAAUAAAUAAAUGAUUUCUCUUCUGUAAAAGUAAAUAGUAUUGUGCAUACACAUGAUAAGGAUGUUUUUCAUUGCUUUCCUCUGGUAGACAGUCAAUCCUUAGCCAUGACAGCACAUGGUUUCUUUAUAGAGUGAGCAUAAGGCGAGCCCUAGAGCACUGUUUUGUUACCUUACCUUUGGCACUCUGCUUAGAUGGUGAUCUUUACAAAGUUUUAAAUUUCACCUCAGGAGAACAUUACAUAGUAAUCGUUGCUGAAGCAAAUUGGAGGUACAAAUUUUUGUAAUCAGGUUUGAAGGAUUUGUUUCUCAAUAAUAGUUGAGCAACUUUUCUGUUCUGUUGUGGUUGGCUUACCAGUACCUUUUAAUAGAUAACAAACUUCACAUGAUGGCUUGUGGAAUUGCUUCCCUCUGCAGCCCUUUAAACUAAGCGUAAAAUUCAGAAGACUUUAUAAGUACCAUGUCACUUCAGAUACCCGUAAAUAGGAAGACUGUGUUUUAAUUAGGGGAGUGGAAAAAGAGAAGAUCGUUUAUUCAAGUAGUAGUUCCUGGAUGAGCAUUAAACAACUUGUGCUUCUUUGGGAUCAACAGGGCUUUCAGCUUUCCAAGGUGAUGUGCUGCAUUUAUGCAUGUGAAUAAUAAACUUAUGCAAAAUAAAAGGAAAUUUCAUGCUUGGGAGAAAAAGAAGUGUAUGAGCUUUAUCCUUACCUAAAGAACAAAGAACACUGUCCAUUAAAGUAAGAUAGAGUAAAAGAAGUUUUUUCCUGCCUUCAUUUUGGAAAAUGUACAUUAAAAGACCUUAAGAUUUCCCACAUAAUAUUUAAAAACUUUUUUGAGCCUGCUCCAUUGCUACAUGAUAAUCUUCUAUUUCUAUAGAUUUACAUGUAUCUCCCCCUAAAAGGGGAGUUAAAGCAAGAGUUGAAUAAUCUUUUACCUAUAACAUAUGCAUAUUUUGAAAAAAAGUGGAAACAUUUGAAAAAUUGCAUGUAUUUUUAUGCUCCAAUUUAUUUGUUACUAUGGCAACCACCACAGUGCCUAGUAUUUAUGUUGUCUAAAAUUCAGAACACCUUUUCAAAGAAAUCAAUAUGCCAGAGAGAUGUAUUGUAUUUACUUUAGUAUUUAGAAAAAUAUUUAUUUUAAUGCAUAUUUUUGAAGAAAAAUAGCAAUAAUAAUGUAAACUUCAGUCUGGCUUAAAUUAAUACC